rnacentral:rRNA from 1 species
GACGAACGCUGGCGGCGUGCCUAAUACAUGCAAGUCAAGCGGACCAAGAAGAGCUUGCUCUUUGAGGUUAGCGGCGGACGGGUGAGUAACACGUGGGCAACCUGCCUGUAAGCUUGGGAUAACUCCGGGAAACCGGUGCUAAUACCGAAUACAACAAAGGACCGCAUGGUCCCUUGUGAAAAGACCUUGUGUCACUUACAGAUGGGCCCGCGGCGCAUUAGCUUGUUGGUGGGGUAACGGCCUACCAAGGCGACGAUGCGUAGCCGACCUGAGAGGGUGAUCGGCCACACUGGGACUGAGACACGGCCCAGACUCCUAUGGGAGGCAGCAGUAGGGAAUCUUCCGCAAUGGACGAAAGUCUGACGGAGCAACGCCGCGUGAGCGAUGAAGGUUUUCGGAUCGUAAAGCUCUGUUGCCAGGGAAGAACCGCCGGGAUAACCUCCCGGUCUGACGGUACCUGGCGAGAAAGCCCCGGCUAACUACGUGCCAGCAGCCGCCGUAAAAC